GAUGAACGCUGACAGAAUGCUUAACACAUGCAAGUCUUUGGCGAAGCUGUGCUUGCACAGCCUAGCCAAGGCGGACGGGUGAGUAACGCGUAAGGAACUUGCCCUGCAGUCAGGGAUAACAGACGGAAACGACUGAUAAGACCUGGUAAAGUCAGGCGGACUCAUGUCCAGCCUGAUGAAAAGAGAUGCUGCAGGAGAGCCUUGCGUCCUAUUAGCUUGUUGGUGGGGUAACGGCCCACCAAGGCGAUGAUAGGUAGCCGGCCUGAGAGGGUGGACGGCCACAAGGGGACCGAGAUACGGCCCUGACGCCUACGGGAGGCAGCAGUGGGGAAUAUUGGACAAUGGGGGCAACCCUGAUCCAGCAAUUCUGUGUGCACGAUGAAGGUUUUCGGAUUGUAAAGUGCUUUCAGCAGGGAAGAAAAAAAUGACGGUACCUUCAGAAGAAGCGACGGCUAAAUACGUG
rnacentral:rRNA from 1 species